GUGCUGCUUGUUCACCGCUCCUUGAAGACUUACUCAUCGCCGAAGCAGCCCUGAGUAAACCCCGUGUCCCUGCCUGAUAGGCAGGGCUGGGCCCUGCUUACUUCAACAGUCGCAGAAGUCAGUGGCAGACGGCUGAAUCUCAGACCUCCUAAGAGACUGACCACGUGUGUAUUUUCAGAUGCACCCCCACUUGUGAGCAGCAGAAACCUGGGAAGAUGAGAAGAGGAAGCUUAAGCCCAGUUCCUGAGAUGUGAAGAUGAAGUUUAAGCCCGGUUCCGGAAUCUGAGAUGCAGUAGAUGGUGCUGAAGCAACACUGAGGCUCCUGAAAUAUCCACAGUCCAGUGUGUAUAUAGAAAGUGCCUCCUGGCUUUCCCAAACAUUGACGGUCCUGUGUCUUCAAGAGAUGCACUCUGGAAAAAGAAAACACCGACUGUUAGUUUUAAAAAUGUUAAUAAAUAAUUCUUUGUG